GUAGUUUGAUCGUGGCUCAGAUUGAGCGCUGGCGGCAAUGCCUUACACAUGCAAAGUCGAACGGUAACAGGUCUUCGGAUGCUGACGAGUGGCGAACGGGUAGAGUAAUACAUCGGAACGUAGCCCAGACGUGGGGGAUAACGAGGCGAAAGCUUUGCUAAUACCGCAUACGAUCUAAGGAUGAAAGCAGGGGACCGCAAGGCCUUGCGCGUUUGGAGCGGCCGAUGGCAGAUUAGGUAGUUGGUGGG
rnacentral:rRNA from 1 species